AGGAACAGUCACUGGAAUAUCACAAAACAGAAGUCAAGGAGGGACUUUUGAAAUUACCCCCCAAGCAGCUGGGCAGCAUGAGCUCACCUCCUGACGUUAACUAGGAGAGCACACAGAUUUUCCCCCACCCUUAGCCAUCAAAAAUUGCUGCUGUGGUAAUCAUUGCAACUGAUGCUCUUAGAAGUGGAAACUCAGUUUGUCAGACCGAGGUAUCCAGAGAGAGAAGAUCCUUAAUUAAAAAGUUGGUUUGCUUACUGUUGGAUCUGGCCUGCUAACCUCAUCCCCAGCCCAGUCCUACGUUCUGUUUCACGGAGGCCAGCACCGUCCGUGCCAGCGAAGGUUUCACGAGUCGCUGAGAUAGGUGUUGCUGAAAAACCUGUCUUUAGGAGCCCAGGAGAGAAAUCUCAGCAUCAUGCCAAUGCAAGAAUUUUGUUAUCCCUUCUCUUGGGAGAAAGGCAACAGAGGUGAGGACUGAGAUGUGGAAGAACACUUUCCCAGGCAGGGCAGCACCCCUGGUUGUGGCUCUCCUGUGGGUCUCCUCCCAGCUUCACCGGAGACCUCUGAGAUACCAGUCCAGCUGACAAAAAGGUGCAUGUAAAGUUUAAUGUGCAAAGAUGGGAUUUAUUUCUGAACUUCAAAAUGCCAACUUGUUUUGCCAUGAUUAACAAGGAAACAAAUCUAUGAUGCUCAUGGUAAAAGAAUACGGCUGAGAGUGUGGAGGGAUGGCAGUUUAGCUGCACUGUGCUAAUGUUUGUCCUGUAUGAGAUAAAAUAAUCAUGUUUAAACCCCAGUGAAAGCAGCCAGAAAACCCUUGUCACUACAUUGUAUUGGCUUUGAUCUGUUGUACUUGAUUAUGUAUUUUUUGUUUGUUACAGGCUCCCAAUUUUCCUUCUUUGCUCUAAAAACUAUACUGAGAGUAUUGCAUCACUUUUCUCCACAUCAGUGAAUCUGCUUAUUGACAUCCUGUUAGAGGCCUGUGCAAAUAGUCUUCAAAAAGGAAUAAAUGAAAGACACUAGUGAAAAGCAAAGUUUGACCAGAGGGUAAAGUUCUGUCAAAAGCACUUUAUCUUUCUUUGUUACUGAGACACGACCAGAUGUUUGUUUAUAACAAAAUGCCUGUGUUGGGAUUUUUGAAAGCCCAGAUGAGGAAAACUGUAUCUAAUUGCUGCUAGGAGUGCAGCCAUGUCCUAACUGCAACCUGGGUUGGUGUGUCCUAAAAUACUAUAUUUGGAGAUUCUGGGAGUGGAAUAAAAGCGUAUGUGUUUUCGCUGAAAGGAGAUAGGGCUGUCAGUUCAGAAACACACUGAACAUCUGCUCUGCGUGGGCCCUGUGGUUUAACUAGAUUAAAGACCCACAUUAAAAUGAUCAUCAGUCAAUCAGAACGCUUCCUCAGUCUGAGAAACAUAACAUCACGCUCAGUGCUGCAGUUUCCAAAGAAGCCGAUGUGUCGUGGUUAGAAAAAAAAAAAAAAACAGAACAGUGAAAUAUUUCACAAUUGUGGUUUGUUUGGCUUGUGUGAUAUCACAGACUAAUGUUUAACCUAGGAUCAAACAACUUGGAAUUUGUUGCCCUAAAUGAUUUUAAAUCUAGCUAAUUAUUUUGAGCACAUCUUAGCUAUUAACUCUAGUUAGCAAAAUGAAAUGUAAUUCAUGUUCUUCUAGCUUUGGGAGAGUUUCCAAUCAAUAAAGCUGUAGCACAGACCACAAAUUUGUGUUGUUUCAGUGGUACAGAGAUCAUUUUCCUUUCAUUUAAACCCCUAGAUAACCA